rnacentral:rRNA from 1 species
GGGUUGUGAGGUUAAGUGACUAAGCGUACACGGUGGAUGCCUAGGCAGUCAGAGGCGAUGAAGGGCGUGCUAAUCUGCGAAAAGCGUCGGUAAGGUGAUAUGAACCGUUAUAACCGGCGAUACCCGAAUGGGGAAACCCAGUGUGUUUCGACACACUAUCAUGUCAUGAAUACAUAGUGGCAUGAGGCGAACCGGGGGAACUGAAACAUCUAAGUACCCCGAGGAAAAGAAAUCAACCGAGAUUCCCCCAGUAGCGGCGAGCGAACGGGGAGGAGCCCAGAACCUGAAUCGGCUUGUGUGUUAGUGGAAGCGUCUGGAAAGUCGCGCAGUAAAGGGUGAUAGCCCCGUACACUAAAAUGCACAGGUCGUGAGUUCGAUGAGUAGGGCGGGACACGUGACAUCCUGUCUGAAUAUGGGGGGACCAUCCUCCAAGGCUAAAUACUCCUGACUGACCGAUAGUGAACCAGUACCGUGAGGGAAAGGCGAAAAGAACCCCGGCGAGGGGAGUGAAAUAGAACCUGAAACCGUGUACGUACAAGCAGUGGGAGCACCUUCGUGGUGUGACUGCGUACCUUUUGUAUAAUGGGUCAGCGACUUAUAUUUUGUAGCAAGGUUAACCGUAUAGGGGAGCCGUAGGGAAACCGAGUCUUAACUGGGCGAUUAGUUGCAAGGUAUAGACCCGAAACCCGGUGAUCUAGCCAUGGGCAGGUUGAAGGUUGGGUAACACUAACUGGAGGACCGAACCGACUAAUGUUGAAAAAUUAGCGGAUGACUUGUGGCUGGGGGUGAAAGGCCAAUCAAACCGGGAGAUAGCUGGUUCUCCCCGAAAGCUAUUUAGGUAGCGCCUCGUGAACUCAUCUUCGGGGGUAGAGCACUGUUUCGGCUAGGGGGCCAUCCCGGCUUACCAAACCGAUGCAAACUCCGAAUACCGAAGAAUGUUAUCACGGGAGACACACGGCGGGUGCUAACGUCCGUCGUGAAGAGGGAAACAACCCAGACCGCCAGCUAAGGUCCCAAAGUCAUGGUUAAGUGGGAAACGAUGUGGGAAGGCAUAGACAGCCAGGAUGUUGGCUUAGAAGCAGCCAUCAUUUAAAGAAAGCGUAAUAGCUCACUGGUCGAGUCGGCCUGCGCGGAAGAUGUAACGGGGCUAAACCAUGCACCGAAGCUGCGGCAGCGACGCUUAGGCGUUGUUGGGUAGGGGAGCGUUCUGUAAGCCGUUGAAGGUGGCCUGUGAGGGUUGCUGGAGGUAUCAGAAGUGCGAAUGCUGACAUAAGUAACGAUAAAGCGGGUGAAAAGCCCGCUCGCCGGAAGACCAAGGGUUCCUGUCCAACGUUAAUCGGGGCAGGGUGAGUCGACCCCUAAGGCGAGGCUGAAAAGCGUAGUCGAUGGGAAACAGGUUAAUAUUCCUGUACUUGGUGUUACUGCGAAGGGGGGACGGAGAAGGCUAGGCUAGCCGGGCGACGGUUGUCCCGGUUUAAGCGUGUAGGGGGUGUGACCUGGUAAAUCCGGUUGCAUUUAACCCUGAGGCGUGAUGACGAUGCACUACGGUGCAGAAGUAGUUGAUGCCCUGCUUCCAGGAAAAUCCUCUAAGCUCCAGGUAACAUUAAAUCGUACCCCAAACCGACACAGGUGGUCAGGUAGAGAAUACCAAGGCGCUUGAGAGAACUCGGGUGAAGGAACUAGGCAAAAUGGUGCCGUAACUUCGGGAGAAGGCACGCUGGCAUGUAGGUGAAGUCCCUUGCGGAUGGAGCUGAAGCCAGUCGAAGAUACCAGCUGGCUGCAACUGUUUAAUAAAAACACAGCACUGUGCAAACACGAAAGUGGACGUAUACGGUGUGACGCCUGCCCGGUGCUGGAAGGUUAAUUGAUGGGGUCAGCCGCAAGGCGAAGCUCUUGAUCGAAGCCCCAGUAAACGGCGGCCGUAACUAUAACGGUCCUAAGGUAGCGAAAUUCCUUGUCGGGUAAGUUCCGACCUGCACGAAUGGCGUAAUGAUGGCCAGGCUGUCUCCACCCGAGACUCAGUGAAAUUGAACUCGCUGUGAAGAUGCAGUGUACCCGCGGCAAGACGGAAAGACCCCGUGAACCUUUACUAUAGCUUGACACUGAACAUUGAGCCUUGAUGUGUAGGAUAGGUGGGAGGCUUUGAAGCGUGGACGCCAGUCUGCGUGGAGCCAUCCUUGAAAUACCACCCUUUAAUGUUUGAUGUUCUAACUCGGCCCCGUAAUCCGGGGUGAGGACAGUGUCUGGUGGGUAGUUUGACUGGGGCGGUCUCCUCCCAAAGAGUAACGGAGGAGCACGAAGGUUAGCUAAUCACGGUCGGACAUCGUGAGGUUAGUGCAAAGGCAUAAGCUAGCUUGACUGCGAGAGUGACGGCUCGAGCAGGUACGAAAGUAGGUCUUAGUGAUCCGGUGGUUCUGAAUGGAAGGGCCAUCGCUCAACGGAUAAAAGGUACUCCGGGGAUAACAGGCUGAUACCGCCCAAGAGUUCAUAUCGACGGCGGUGUUUGGCACCUCGAUGUCGGCUCAUCACAUCCUGGGGCUGAAGUAGGUCCCAAGGGUAUGGCUGUUCGCCAUUUAAAGUGGUACGCGAGCUGGGUUUAGAACGUCGUGAGACAGUUCGGUCCCUAUCUGCCGUGGGCGUUGGAAGAUUGAGAGGGGUUGCUCCUAGUACGAGAGGACCGGAGUGAACGCACCACUGGUGUUCGGGUUGUCAUGCCAAUGGCAUUGCCCGGUAGCUAAGUGCGGAAAAGAUAAGCGCUGAAAGCAUCUAAGCGCGAAACUUGCCUCAAGAUGAGUCUUCCCU